CCGACUUCUUACAAUUCUCCAUCUACGAAAUUGACAUGCCUACUUUCAGAGUUGUUUCCCACUUUAACACAAAGUUUCAAAUAAAUAAUGAAACUAAAGAUGUACCUUCAUCUGAAGCAGAUUUUGUCCCAAUCGCAAAGCUUUAUGUCCAUCCUUUUACAUCAUGGUUCAAGAGAAAUUGCCAACACAAAUCACCUAUAUAUGUUUAUCAUGAGAUUCCUCACAAGUUCGUGUAUGAUGUCAAUGCCAAACAGUGGAAGAGAAACCUCUGUUCUGUUCCAAUUGGUCAGAUUCAUAAUGUCAAGCAGUUGUUUCAAUAUUUAGUCAAAGGAGACGGACUCACAAGUGGAAGAAAGAGGAUAAAAAUAGGUCAUGAAAACAACGAAGCUAAAAUAGAGCACAAAUAAUUGAUUCAUGUCUAUCAGUUGAAAACGAAUAAGCACAAUUAUGUGAUUAUGCAAAAUCCAUUUAAUAUGUGUAUUUCAUUUCAAUAAUAUCUAUAUAUUCCCCCAUCCAUUCCAGAUUUAAUAAAGCACUUCUAUUUAGAUA